rnacentral:rRNA from 1 species
UACGGAGGGUGCAAGCGUUAAUCGGAAUUACUGGGCGUAAAGCGCACGCAGGUGGCUGAGUCAGUCGAUUGUGAAAGCCCUGGGCUUAACCUGGGAAUUGCAGUCGAUACUACUCAGCUAGAGUAUGGGAGAGGGUAGUGGAAUUCCCGGUGUAGCGGUGAAAUUCGUAGAUAUCGGGAGGAACACCAGUGGCGAAGGCGGCGAUCUGGACAGAUAUUGACGCUGAGGUGCGAAAGCGUGGGGAGCAAACAGG